rnacentral:snRNA from 1 species
CACGGUAUGACAAUGCGG